GUAAGGAAUAUUGGCCAAUGGAGGCAACUCUGAACCAGCCAUGCCGCGUGCAGGAAGACGGCCCUCUGGGUUGUAAACUGCUUUUAUCCGGGAAUAAACCUGCCUUCGUGAAGGUAGCUGAAUGUACCGGAAGAAUAAGGAUCGGCUAACUCCGUGCCAGCAGCCGCGGUAAUACGGAGGAUCCAAGCGUUAUCCGGAUUUAUUGGGUUUAAAGGGUGCGUAGGCGGCCUGUUAAGUCAGGGGUGAAAGACGGUGGCUCAACCAUCGCAGUGCCCUUGAUACUGAUGGGCUUGAAUGGACUAGAGGUAGGCGGAAUGUGACAAGUAGCGGUGAAAUGCAUAGAUAUGUCACAGAACACCGAUUGCGAAGGCAGCUUACUAUGGUCCUAUUGACGCUGAGGCACGAAAGCGUGGGGAUCGAACAGGAUUAGAAACCCUUGUAGUCC
rnacentral:rRNA from 1 species